GUAACAACGAAUGUCGAGAAGUCAGCAGAGGUCGAAGUAGCCGAUUGCGUGUCAAUCAUGGCGAAGGAC
rnacentral:ncRNA from 1 species